rnacentral:rRNA from 1 species
UACGGGGGGGGCAAGCGUUGUUCGGAAUUACUGGGCGUAAAGGGCUCGUAGGCGGCCAACUAAGUCGGACGUGAAAUCCCCGGGCUCAACCUGGGAACUGCAUUUGUGACUGUAUAGCUAGAGUACGGUAGAGGGGAUGGAAUUCCGCGUGUAGCAGUGAAAUGCGUAGAUAUGCGGAGGAACACCGAUGGCGAAGGCAAUCCCCUGGACCUGUACUGACGCUCAUGCACGAAAGCGUGGGGAGCAAACAGG